rnacentral:rRNA from 1 species
UUUCGCAAUGCCCGAAAGGGUGGCGAAGCGACGCCGCGUGAGUGAGGAAGGCCUUCGGGUUGUAAAGCUCUGUCAGGAGUUAAGAAAUAUAAGUGUGUUAAUACCACAUUUAUUUGACGAAGGCUCCAAAGGAAGCCACGGCUAACUCUGUGUCAGCAGCCGCGGUAAUACAGAGGUGGCAAGCGUUGUUCGGAAUUAUUGGGCGUAAAGAGCACGUAGGUGGGUUUGUAAGUCAGAUGUGAAAGCCUUCUGUUCAACGGAAGAAUUGCAUCUGAAACUGCGAGUCUUGAGUGUAGGAGGGGAGAAUGGAACUUCUGGUGGAGCGGUGAAAUGCGUAGAUAUCAGAAGGAACGCCGGCGGCGAAAGCGAUUCUCUGGCCUAUUACUGACACUCGGUGUGCGAAAGCUAGGGGAGCAAACGGGAUUAGAUACCCCGGUAGUCCUAGCUGUAAACGAUGGGCACUAAGUAGAGGGGUUUUA